CCAGCCUGCCAGCCACCGUGUGGCCCCUUUUCUUUCCACACCCUUACUGCACUCGAAGCCUUUCUUCACAGAAUCUCUUUGAAGGGCUGUGGGAAAGUGUGUAUUCAGCAUGACCAAGGUCCUGGGUUAGGUGCCCCAGAAGAAAGAAAAUGGAGGGCCAGAAGAGUGGAGGUGAGUGGUGGGAUAACCUUAAGCCACACAGAUUUGGGAGGCAGGGUCAGAGAGUCGGGGCCUGGUGGGAGGUGGACCGCUAGAGGAGGCUGGGUAUCCCGGGGAACUGAGGAGGAUGGAGAGGCACCUACCUGGAUCUUCACCAGAGAGUGCGCUUCUCGGGAGAACUGCCACAACACUCCCUGCUGCUCAGGGGAAUGUCUGUUUCUCUGAGGACACCAUGUGGUCAUGUUGAGAACUGCAGGAGGCUCCCUCCCAGCCUGGCCCUAGGCUAACUAACCCAGGAGCUCCCUUCUGGGUCCCUGCCGACCUGGUAGGUCUGUGCUGCUGCUUCGUGGUGCCCCAUCCACCUCCUCUCCUGGGCCACAUGCUUUGCCCUGGCUGGCACUAAUAUCGACCAUCCGAAUGUCCCGGGAUAAUACUGUGCCCUCUCCUCUCUCAAUGGGAAUGAGAACUCACCCCGCAGUCCCUGUGUCCCUCCCUCUGUCCAUCCGUCUGUCCCCCCUCUUUCCUUCCCUCCCCCUCCUCCUCCUCUUUCUUCCUCUCCCUCUCCCCUUCCCUCUCCUACCAUCCCUCCUCUCUCCCUCCCCCUCACUUCUCUCCUUCCCUGACAGUGUUUCCUUGGGAUGAGGUGGGAGCCUUGGGUCUUCAACCUUGACCUAGCACAGCUCCCAAUGCUCAGAGCCAGGCUUCACACUUCAGCCCUUAUGAUGUCCUUGACUUACAGAGGGGAGCAGCCCCAGGUUACACUGGUUGGACCAACUUCCAACAGCCUGAUCAACCUUCCUACAAGCCAGACACCUAGCUCCACUGUCACCAAGGGGCUUGGCCGGCUGGAGUGGCAGCCAGCCAGGAGUAACACUUCUGAAGCCCCAGGAACAUCGUGGAGCACAGGUCAGCAAUCAACAAGUCCUUCACUUGACCCUAGCCAGGCCUCCAAGGAAAACUCCCCUGCCAAUGCUACUUCUAUCUCCAGUCCAUGUCGGAGGGAAGCUCCCCGUGCAGCCCAGCUGCCCAGAAUGAAUAGCCUCCCAUGGCUGAGUGCUCCAAUGCCCAAGUCCUACAAGGAUCUGAGUCUUGACCUUCAUGCUUCUGUAGAAUACACGUAAACAUAAGGAAGGCACAAGACACUGAUGGAGUUGGAUUUCUUACAGAAGCAUUCUGGUUUUAUCCAGUUUCUCCCUAAGUUCAAAGGAGAUGAACUACUUUCUCCCACCUGAGAGCAGCAAGCCCCACUCCACUCCACUCUACCCUACCCCUUCCAGACCGACCCACAGAUACAUGUUGAGAAUGGAGGGAGGGGUAACGACGCGGGACCGGGGACGGACGGGACACACAAACACCAAAAAGACACCAGCACAAACGGUUUAUUCAAAAAUAAAUAAAUAUACACCAAGCAGA